UACGGGGGGAGCAAGCGUUGUUCGGAUUUACUGGGCGUAAAGGGCGCGUAGGCGGCCACCGCAAGUCGACUGUGAAAUCUCCGGGCUUAACCCGGAAAGGUCAGCCGAUACUGCGGGGCUAGAGUGCAGAAGGGGCAACUGGAAUUCUCGGUGUAGCGGUGAAAUGCGUAGAUAUCUGGAGGAACACCGGUGGCGAAGGCGGCAUCCUGGACCGGUAUUGACGCUGAGGCGCGAAAGCCAGGGGAGCAAACGGG
rnacentral:rRNA from 1 species